rnacentral:rRNA from 1 species
UACGAAGGGGGCUAGCGUUGCUCGGAAUCACUGGGCGUAAAGGGUGCGUAGGCGGGUCUUUAAGUCAGGGGUGAAAUCCUGGAGCUCAACUCCAGAACUGCCUUUGAUACUGAGGAUCUUGAGUUCGGGAGAUGUGAGUGGAACUGCGAGUGUAGAGGUGAAAUUCGUAGAUAUUCGCAAGAACACCAGUGGCGAAGGCGGCUCACUGGCCCGAUACUGACGCUGAGGCACGAAAGCGUGGGGAGCAAACAGG